GCAGAUACACAACAAAUAAAUGACAGAGGAGGACUCCAGGAGAAGAAAGAAGAAGAAAAAAUUUCAACAACGCAUACACAUGAAGAAAAAGAAGAAAUUUCCUGUAACAAUUAUACUCUCGUAAAUUUAUUCUCGAUUUUCUUCGUUGGCAGUAUAUUCUCAUAUUGGCUAAAACGAAGAGGGGGAUAUAUGAUACAGCAUCUGGUGGUCAGGUCACAAUUAAUAAAGAAGAUCGGAGUUUUUUUUUUUUUUUUUUU
rnacentral:ribozyme from 1 species